GUAAGCACUCAAGAGAUGACUUAACCCCUUCGCGAAAAUAACUCUCUUACCCUGAUUAGCGGAUCAGCCGACACAAGGAUUGAGGGAUGUGCACAGGAUAAAAUGGAAUAGAAAAGCAGACACGAUACAAGAGAAGACAUGCCGGGGAGUCAGCAGGCACAGUGCUUCUGAAUUCUCUUCAAGUAGUCCAGAAGCACUGGCUGUAAUUAACAGUGAAAGGAAGAGAAAAUAAGCUGACCUAUGGCAGGAAAUGCUGCUGUUGGGAAAGCUGCACUUUUAUUAUAGGCAUUGACACCAGGUGUUGGCUUAAUGGCUCGCCCAGAUGCAGACAGCAUUGCGACAGCCUGUGAGAAGAAACCCCAGGGUUUGAAUUUCAUUCAGCCAUUGCCAAGGACUCAAACAAAAAACAGAAGAUGUCCUCACUUCAUGCCGCACAUCGAUGACUUCACUUCCGGCAUCCUAUGAUGACGUCAUCCCUGUCCCCCGAUGAAGAUGUCAUUUCCAUCUCUCACUUCC